rnacentral:rRNA from 1 species
AUACGAAAGGUGCAAGCGUUGUUCGGAUUUACUGGGCGUAAAGAGAGUGUAGGUUGUUUAUUAAGUCGGAUGUGAAAUCCCGGGGCUCAACCUCGGAACUGCAUUCGAUACUGGUAGACUAGAGUUCGGGAGGGGUAAGCGGAAUUCCGUGUGUAGCAGUGAAAUGCGUAGAUAUACGGAGGAACACCUGAGGCGAAGGCGGCUUACUGGACCGAUACUGACACUGAGGCGCGAAAGCGUGGGGAGCAAACAGGAUUAGAAACCCUAGUAGUCC